AACGCCUUUUAAAAAUUUAUUUAGUAUAAAAUUUCCACUCGAGAAGAAAAUUGCAUUCAAAAUUAAGAUUUAUCAAAAAAAAACCGUAAUAAGCGAAUAGAAUUUCGGGACUCGUCAUCGGAUCGGCAAUUCAGCAGCUAAAUAAUAGUCAAACUGAAACCUACAGCGGAUAAUGAUAGUGUUGUCCCAACAGGCAUUGUCGUGAUGAGAGGCCAAACGACUUGUUUAGUAUCCUGCAUUCUUUUUCUUAUAUGCUUGAAGUGCAUACUUUAAGAAUACAUUAAAUUCAUCUGCUAUGAUUACUAGAUGAGGUCCUUUAUCCCCUCAUUCCAACUUUUUCCUUUACAAAUUCUUCAUAUAAUUUAUUCUUUGUGUUACGGAGAAAUUUAAUCUUCUUAACUAAAUAAAAGUUUGUUCUCGGAGAUACAGUGAUAUCCAUCGUUAAGGCAAGAGUACACUUUUUAGUAUGAAAUAAUUAGAUUUCUGAAAUAUGGUAAUGUCAAAUGUUAAUGAUAAUAUUAUUGUUUCUUUUUAAGUCCAAUCAAUAUAUGCAUUAAUUUGGCUAAAGCAACUUUAAACAAUAAUUGAAAGGCUCAGUUAAUAAUCAUUAUAAUAAAUAACCGAAGAGAUUAAGUAGGUAGGAAUAUAACAAAUGCAUAACAUUGUAUAUAUCGGAUUUUAUUACAAAUUCAUUGUUUUAAAGACAGGACGCCAGCCUCGCUGACGUCUCUAAUGUCACUUGUUUCAGUAAGUUCCAGAUAUUUUAAAAUGAAACUUCAAUUCUUCUAAAUGUUCUUGUAUUUCUCGAAGGUUCUUUAUGCUCCGCACUCGCUGAACUCUGCAGUCCCCUGUCGUGCGUCCAGAAGUCAUA